rnacentral:rRNA from 1 species
CCUACGGGAGGCAGCAGUGGGGAAUAUUGGACAAUGGGGGCAACCCUGAUCCAGCCAUGCCGCGUGAGUGAUGACGGCCUUAGGGUUGUAAAGCUCUUUUCUCCGGGACGAUAAUGACGGUACCGGAGGAAUAAGCCCCGGCUAACUUCGUGCCAGCAGCCGCGGUAAUACGAAGGGGGCUAGCGUUGCUCGGAAUCACUGGGCGUAAAGGGCGCGUGGGCGGCUGACUUAGUCGAGGGUGAAAGCCCGUGGCUCAACCACGGAAUGGCCUUCGAUACUGGUUGGCUUGAGACCGGAAGAGGACAGCGGAACUGCGAGUGUAGAGGUGAAAUUCGUAGAUAUUCGCAAGAACACCAGUGGCGAAGGCGGCUGUCUGGUCCGGUUCUGACGCUGAGGCGCGAAAGCGUGGGGAGCAAACAGGAUUAGAUACCCUGGUAGUCCACGCUGUAAACGAUGAAUGCUAGCCGUUGGUCUGCAUGCAGGUCAGUGGCGCCGCUAACGCAUUAAGCAUUCCGCCUGGGGAGUACGGUCGCAAGAUUAAAACUCAAAGGAAUUGACGG